rnacentral:lncRNA from 1 species
CAGCCAGGAAUUCCUUGCCCAGAUCCCAGCCCAAGCUCCCCUUUCCCAGUGGGAGCCAUUCCCUGGCUCCUGUCCCUCUGUCCCUUGUCCCCAGCCCCUCUCCAGCUCUCCUGGAGCCCCUCCAGGGACUCUGAGCAUUCCCUGGAUUUUUCCUGGCCCAGGCGCCACCAGGUCCUGUCCUGCCCCUGCCAUUCCCAUCUUCUCCUGCUCCCGAUCCUGCCCGGAACCGGCUUGGCAGCUGCCACACCCCCGCCACAAACCCAGGGCCAAAAGGUCACCACGGGGUGAAUUUUGGGCACCCUGGGAGGUGCCACCACCCCCGGCAGCACCGAGGGAAGGAGGGCAAGGAGCAAAGUGACCCCAAUGAACCAAAAACUCGGCCCUGCUCCAGGGAGCCUCCCUGCCACAUCCGUGUCCCACGGCUCUCCCUGGAUCCCUGGAGGUGUCCAAGGCCAGAUCCUUGGGACCAUCCCAAGCUGCUUCCAUCGGUCAGGAUCAAGGACAACAUGGAGCAGCCACCGCCGGGAGGUCACAGCCGAGUCACGGGCGCAGACCUGCGGCUCCUGCCUUUCCCCGGGAUCGCGCUUUGUUAUCUCCGCUCUUAUCUCGCAGCUCCCAGCCCUCGCGCAGAUCAAAGGAACAACGCGGCUCCCGCUGCCAGGAGCGGCCGGGAUGUUUAUCCAGUUCACAGCAGGCGUGGCUCCAGCAAGGAAUUCCUCAGGCUGUGGGAAAGUCGCACGGAGAAACAGUUUUGGGGCGGCGUGUCCAGGCACGCGGAGAGCCUGUCCCCAACGUCCCAUGGAAGUGUUGGAUUCAGGAUUGCCUCAUCCCGAGCAGCACCCGGUGGGACCCAAGGAAAGCUCUGGAACCGCAGAAGAGCAGCCAAUGGAUUGGGAGGAAUUGGGAGUGGCAAGGAGAAAAUGGGAGAAUCUUCUAUGGAAGGCUCAGGAUCUUCCUGGUUUGGGGUUUUCCACAUCUCUUUUCCCUACUGUCUUCCUGGGCAAAUCCCUGAUGGUUCCCUCAGCUCCAGAGGAUUGAAGAACCCAAGAAAUCAUCAUUCCCACAAUACCUGAUGAUUCCCUCAAUUCCAGAGGACUGAAGAAUCCAAGAAAUCGCCAUUCCCAGAAUCCCUGAUGGUUCCCUCAACUCCAGAGGAUUGAGAAAUCCAAGAAAUUGUCGUUCCCAGAAUCCCUGAUGGUUCCUGCAGCUCCAGAGGACUGAGGAAUCCAAGAAAUCACCAUUCCCAGAAUCCCUGAUGGUUACCUCAGCUCCAGAGGAUUGAAGAAUCCAAGAAUCGCCACCUCCUCCAUCAUCCCUGCUCCACCACCCAGGUGUCAAACACGGGAAGGAAAAUCCCUCCAGGAGCAGCUUCUCCCAGUAUCCAGGACCUAUGCAUGGCUCAGGAAGGCUGGGCAGCUCUGGUUGUCCUAAUCCAUAGGGUCCUGGAUUCCAACAGAUUGUGAGAUCCAGCCCAUUCUCCUCCUCCAUCCCUCAGAUUGGAUAUUUCAAACCCUAAAUCACUUCCCAACGGAAGGGGAAUAAUCCAAAAUCCAGCCUUUCCAUCCCCCUAUGGAUGACAAACCUCUCAGGACAAGGAGUUUGUGUUUGUCCAGCUCCAAACACAACCAGGCUGUGAUGAGGGAAUCACGGAAUGGUUUGGGAUGGAAGGGACCUUGAAGACCAUCUCGUUCCAACCCCUGCCAUGGACAGGGACACCAUCCACUAGAGCUGGAACUAGGACUUUCCAUGUGAUCCAUGAUGGAACCUCAGAUUAAAUACAGAUUAAAUAUUUAUUAGUCUCCUUCCAGGACCUGGACGGGCCUCCAGGGAGGAUGGAGAUGGGAUCUUUGUCAGGAAUUGGAGAGGUGGGACAAGAGAUGACAGGGAUGGGAUGGUUUAGAUGGGAUUUUGGGAAGGAAUUCCUGUCUGGGAGGGUGGGGAGUGGCUGGGCUGGAAUUCCUAGAUUUGCUGUGGCUGCCCCUGGAUCCCUGGCAGUGCCCAAGGCCCCGUUGGAUCCAGCUGGGAUAGUGGGAGGUGU